rnacentral:rRNA from 1 species
GUCUAUGGCCAUGCCACUCUGAAUAAGCCCAAUGUCUGGCCUUGGAAGCUAAGCAAGGGUGAGCCAGGUCUGUACUUGGAUGGGAGACUACCUAGGAAGACUGGGUACUGUAGGCA